ACAUUAUUGAAUGGUCUUUUGACCUUCUACCUUUCAAACCUGUGGAAGCAAACAUUGUGCUUCGGCAUCCCCUUUGGGGUUGCCGCUUUUAUGCAGAAACUGGUGUGUUGUCUGAAUGAAAAUGUUAUUCAAAACUUUCAACAAAGGAUCUCUUGGCUCUCGCAUCGAUGAAGAACGCAGCGAAGCGCGAAAUGUAGUGUGAAUUGCAGAACAUUGUGAAUCAUCGAAUCUUUGAACGCACAUUGCGCCUCCGGUAACAUGGAGGCAUGCCUGUCUGAGUCUCAUUUAACCCCUAAAUCCAUUUUUGGUUUGUGCCUGGGUGCUCGCCUCUUUGGCGUCGCCUCAAAGUCAUCUGUCUUAUGAGUGGAUGAGAUCCUUUUUGGACUGACCGCUUGUGGGACCCCAAAAAUCUCUGAUUUGAGCUCAGAUCAGGUAGGACUACCGCCUGAACUUAAGCAUAUCAAUAA
rnacentral:rRNA from 1 species